UACGGAGGGUGCAAGCGUUAUCCGGAUUCACUGGGUUUAAAGGGUGCGUAGGUGGGUUUGUAAGUCAGUGGUGAAAUCUCCAAGCUUAACUUGGAAACUGCCGUUGAUACUAUAAAUCUUGAAUGUUGUGGAGGUGAGCGGAGUAUGUCAUGUAGCGGUGAAAUGCUUAGAUAUGACAUAGAACACCAAUUGCGAAGGCAGCUCACUACACAAAGAUUGACACUGAGGCACGAAAGCGUGGGGAUCAAACAGG
rnacentral:rRNA from 1 species